GGGCCCGCACAAGCGGUGGAGCAUGUGGUUUAAUUCGACGCAACGCGAAGAACCUUACCGGGGCUUGACAUCUUUUUGACCGCCUGGGAAACCAGGUUUUCUUCCUUCGGGAAGACAGAAAGACAGGUGGUGCAUGGUUGUCGUCAGCUCGUGUCGUGAGAUGUUGGGUUAAGUCCCACAACGAGCGCAACCCUUGUCCUUAUUUGCCAGCCUGUUUACAGGCGCACUCUAAGGAGACUGCCGUAGAUAAUACGGAGGAAGGUGGGGAUGACGUCAAAUCCUCAUGCCCCUUACGUCCCGGGCUACACACGUGCUACAAUGGUCUGUACAGAGGGUUGCUAAGGAGCGAUCCGGAGCCAAUCCCACAAAGCAGGCCCCAGUUCGGAUUGGAGGCUGAAACUCGCCUCCAUGAAGGUGGAAUCGCUAGUAAUCGCGGAUCAGCAUGCCGCGGUGAAUACGUUCCCGGGCCUU
rnacentral:rRNA from 1 species